GAUGAACGCUGGCGGCGUGCUUAACACAUGCAAGUCGAACGAUGAAGCCCAGCUUGCUGGGUGGUUUAGUGGCGAACGGGUGAGUAACACGUGAGUAACCUGCCCUUAACUCUGGGAUAAGCCUGGUCAACUGGGUCUAAUACCGGAUAGGAGCGUCCACCGCAUGGAGGGUGUUGGAAAGAUUUAUCGGUUUUGGAUGGACUCGCGGCCUAUCAGCUUGUUGGUGAGGUAAUGGCUCACCAAGGCGACGACGGGUAGCCGGCCUGAGAGGGUGACCGGCCACAAGGGGACUGAGACACGGACCAGACGCCUACGGGAGGCAGCAGUGGGGAAUAUUGCACAAUGGGCGCAAGCCUGAUGCAGCGACGCCGCGUGCGGGAUGACGGCCUUCGGGUUGUAAACCUCUUUCAGUAGGGAAGAAGCGAAAGUGACGGUACCUGCAGAAGAAGCACCGGCUAACUACGUG
rnacentral:rRNA from 1 species